UUCGUCCCGCGUCCCUCCUCGCCUGCGGGCUGCUGCCGGACCUGCCACCGCGGGCUUGGGGCCUCGCCAAACCUUUCCACCCCUUAACUGAUUUUGAAAGGGAUUCUUUCUGCUGUUCGGCCAGAUAUAACCAAAUAUGCCUGGGAAUUGCACCCUUGAGUAACGGAGCAGCCCAGAAACGACAAAUGCCUCGCAGUCUUGCUCUACCUCCGGGCCCCGUCAUCGGGCGUCAUCACCUGCACGUGGGUCCACACGCAAGGAGAGAAAAGCCACGAGAGAGGAGCGGAAGCAAGUUAUUUCAACAGUGCAUUUAAUACAAGAAAUUGGUCACCCUGGUGUUAGAAGACUGAAAACAGGCAAAGGAACGUGGAGGUAUCUCCGAGAUGGUACCUGCUGGAAGCAGCCACCACCCCCAGGGCUCAGUGGGAAGAGAUUGAGGCUGUCUGACCCUGGAAGAUUGUAGACUUGGUGCCAGCACAUCAGAGGGCUGGAGAGUGACGUGUCCGAGCUAACGAUGCCUCUGUUCCUGAUACCGAAGGGCUUUCAUCCCAGAGGAGGCUGUGGUAGGAAGUUUAUCUGCUGAAGAACACAGACUAUUGGAAGAGUAGCGUCUCACAGUGUGGAGUUUGCUGAUUGCGUGCUCGUGGCCUCCAGCUUUCAGGACGGCUGCCGGUGACCCUCCCCUCCUGUGAAUCCCACUCCAGCCUGGUAGCAGGGUCGCUCUGUGUGAACAACAGAAUACAGCCCGGCCGAAGGCAUGUGGCUUCUGGGGCUUUAUCCUAAAAGAUGUGCUGCUUUGGGCUUUCUCUCUUGGAUUUACUCAGCAAAAAAAGCCAGCCAUUGCCUCAUGGGGACAUUGAGGCAGCCUGGGAGAGGCCCAUGGUGGCUUCCCGGCGACAGCCAGCAUUAACCUGCCAGCCCCGUGGUUGGGCCACCUUGGGAACUGCCGGUCUAGCCCCAGUCAAGCCUUCGGAUAACAUCAGCCCCCAACUAGCAGCUUGUCCGCGACGAUGGCUAACUAACGCAACGCUCUUGACACAGCUCGGUAUGUUUCUUUGUCCUCCAUGUUUCCCGCCGUUGAGCAGUGGGAUCCUGAGCCUUGUCGGACUUGGGUCAGAUCUCUCCGGCAGGACCACGGGGUGGCGCUGGUUUCCUGUCACAAAGCACAUCAUGUCUGGUUGUCUGUCUUUUAAUGAUGUCACCAGCCACUGAUGUUUAGUACCUUAUUCAUCAGGGGUUGCAAAAUGGUUUUUUUCUAAUCUUACCCUUUCUUUUACAUUUACUAGUUGGAAUACUUUUAUAGAGAGGGACUUCCACUCAUUUAGUGUCUGUUCCCCAUUGUUACGGUUUGUAGAAAAAAGGUAGGACAAAUCUUUGGUUCACUUCAUUUAUUAGUUUUCAAGACAGUAGAUUGGUUUCCUGUCCUCAAAGAGGGGACAGUCAUCAGCACCCUUCUAAAUACUAUUAUCAAUCAGUUCAUGUAUUUAAACAUUGGAUGGGGGCGCCUGGGGGGCUCAAUCAGUUAAGCGUCCGACUUCGGCUCAG